GGUUGGGGGUGGAGUGGGGGAGGGUGAGAGGCUAGCUUGGACCCGUUGGACAAAUUUCGCGAGAUCUUUGUUAAAAGGCCUCAGCAACGGGAAGAUACCGCGAGAGCUGGCGCGUGACGUAAUUAAAACGCGCGAACGGAAGUGGCGCAGAGCACGAUGGAAUAUCAGUAUGGUUGGUCCUCUAGGAACCGGCGGGAAAGAUAAAACCUUCGGUUUGUACUCUGCUUCGUGAACUAUGUUGUGACCCCGCUCCCUUUUCCCUCAGAGACCUGCAGACGGACGCUACUACUCCUAGAAGAAUGAUGUUGGCCUAAGUUGAAUUUGACGAGGUUGACUAUUAUGUGACCAAGAAGGACAUAAUAAAUCAUGACAUUUGAAGAACAUCCUGAGUUCAAAGGGCUGAGGAGCAUGAUGGCCUGUGGACUCAGUGUUGCAUAUUUUAAGCACGGCAGAGCCAGAGGAGGUGUGCUGAGUGACUGAAGAUCUCCGUGUUAGCCCCUGUGUUGAAGCUCUUUGUAACCACGGGCAAGGAGCCUGUAAGGCUCACUGUUCUGCAGCUGGCGCUGUGAUUUCCUUCUCCUCGACAGGCUCUCUCCCAUCUUCCUCCACCCUGGAGACCUGCUGUGGCUCUCUCCGCUAUUACAGAAUUAAGACUGUCUGGGGAAUACUAGUUAAUUGCCCAGCAGCUAAUCAGAAUCGUAAAGGUCAGUGAUAACAGGCAACAGCUUACUCAUGUUCACAAACAGCAGGAUGUGACAAAAGCAAUUUACCUUGAGAAAUCUACUGAGCUUAUGCUGUCUCGCUCGGGCUCUGUCUGUCCAUCUUCAUCUGCCCUUUCAGUUUCUGCUUCUGCCCCCUCUUUGGGUCUUGUUUCUAGGUAUUCCAUGUUGCUGUUUGGUCCCCUUUGAAGGGGUUCUGCAUCCAGUUCCGGUUUGUGAGGUUUGUGCCACACCACCACCACUGUCCGACACCGGCCGCGUGUCCUACCAUUCAACUCCAUCCUGACACCAUCCACCCGGAGACAGCAGCAGAUUC